CUUUAGUCCUGGAGAGGUUCAUGUCGGAGCACUGCUCCGAGCUGCCGGGGACCUCAGUACUGGCACCCAACAAGCGCACCGGGUCCUCCAGGCUUCUUAUUGAAACACACGCACUGCUCCAGCUGCAGCUAGUGAUGGGCAGCUUCUGCAACACCGGGAGCUGCACACGCGAUGGACGGGCUGUGAUGUUACGUGCAUUACCGACUGGGUAAGUCGGUCUCAUUCAAUCAACAAGCUCCAUCUCCCCGAGCCACAAGGCGAUCGCCAGAACGAAUUUAUGGCCGGAGCACCGGGGGGGUUACGUACUACUCUCGGUGAGGCAUGGGCUUCUUUUUACAUGAAAUAACUGCAGAUUGUGGACAAACAGAUGCACAGCCUGCCCUGCCCUCCCCUCCCCGCGGGGCCACCGCCACCAGCGGCUCCCGGAGCCCCUCGGAGCCCCUCGGAGCCCCCCACGGGGGAACCCCGGAGCCGCAGCCGGGAGCCCCUCGGCGGGGGGACCCCGCAGCCCCCCGGGGCCGCCGGGAGGCGCCUGCGCUCUGCGGCCGCUCGGUGCCGGCCCCGCGCCUGGCGCCGCCCGCAGCCCGGCGGCGGCCGCUGCCUAUUUUAGUCACAGCGCCGGGACGGGGCCGCCGCGGGGCCGGGGGCCGGGGGCCGGGACGGGACCGGAUCGGAUCGGAUCGGGUGGGAUCGGAUCGGAUCGGAUCGGCCGGGACUUUUUCUGGCGCCGGGGGCUGCGGGGAGCGACCCCCCUCUGGCCGCCCCGUCUGGCCCGUCCCGAACCGGCCGCCAGACUUUGCCGAGGGCGCCCGGCAGGGGGCACGGGGACAGGGGUCUUCAAGAUGAACACUACAGCGAUUAGCCCACUCACUGUUACUCCACUAGGCUUUAUUCCAGACCUAAAAAAUGCCACCCUUGUGCCUUUCAAUGAGACUGCAUGUGAAAACUGGAAAGAGAUUCAUCAUCUUGUUUUCCAUGUGGCAAAUAUUUGCUUUGCGGUUGGACUUGUUAUUCCAACUACUCUGAAUUUUCAUAUGAUUUUCCUGCGGGGCCUGCUCACCAUAGGUAGGUGACUUCUUUGGGAGAUUUGCAGCUUACCUGUGGCAGAAACAGUGAACAUUACAAGGAGAUCUCUGAGUCUCUUCAGAUUACAGGGAAAUUCCAGCACAUAUUCAUGGUCACUGUGCUUUGCUGAAGGUACUUUUGGUGUAAUUGGGGGUCCAUUCUGGACCAGACAGACAUUUUCUAAUAAGGUUACAUAUUAGGCUCUUAAAAUCUCCCAGAGCUGCAACUUAAAACUUCAAAACUAUGUAGAUGUUGAUUUAAAAACAAGUGAACCCCAUUCAUGUUAAACCUCACUGGCUGCUUAAAAUUCAUUGAAUUCCAAAUCAUAGUUUACUCCAUGGAUCCUUAAGAGCUUAAUUUUAGGUUUCGGGUAAAUACUGGGACCAUGCAUUGGCAGGUACACUGGCUUAGUAUAGUACCUCUGUAAUAGGUAGGGUUUUCCUUGAAAAGCAUGAUGUGGGCACACGUUCUUUAAAUGGGAGUUCAAACACGUGGCAUUUGCUGUUGUUGCAGUACCAUUAUUUUCAUUACCAGUUUAGAGAUGCGAGUUGUCAAUAUAGGAUGAAAUCAGUUCUCUUGUAGUCAGUCCUCUUUCCUCCACCACUGCAGGCAUCUGACGGUACAAAAAUUUGGUUUCAAAGGAAAAACUGAAUUUGGCGUGCUUGAGACUAAACAGUUACAUUGUAAGAAAGAUAAACCCAGGUGUUUCACAACACAGGGCAUGGUUGAGUAUUUUCUACAUUAGAAUGCUUUGUAUAAUAGCAGGGAUCUAUUUUAUGAUAAAACUUUGAUGAUUGAGUUUACCCUUUCAUUUUGCCCCUUUUAUAGCAAUUAUAGGAUAGUUUAUCAAAACAGACUGCAGUAAUGACCAAGGGUCUCAGUAUUGUAAAACCUUUUGUCUGUGUAGCUCUCAUUUAAAAACAAUUGGACUUCUGCACAAUCUGAGCAUGCCAAUUUGGACAGUAGGUCAUCUUGCAUUUUGAGCAAAUAGGGAAUCAGAAUUCAUCAAACUGAGGUGGAAACUGGAAGCAAAUGUACUCUGUGGGCAGCAGAAGGUCUCGUUCUGAUGGAUCUGUGUCCUUUGCAUUGAUAACCACACAGUGUUACUCCUCUUCAGUACCUCCAGGUGUAGUGUCCUCCUAUUCAUCUUAGGCUAAAUUAGCAGCAGAUCAAGAGUGUUAUGGGGACUGACUUCUAAGAUAUUAAAGGUAGUGUCCUGAAUCCUCCCCUCUUCUCUUUGCAGUUUAAUAGGGUGUUUUUUGCUUUCUUUGGGGAAGGUGUUUGCCCACAGAAAUCAUCUUUUAAUUGGUGCAAAAAGAAAAUACGCUCU
rnacentral:lncRNA from 1 species